rnacentral:rRNA from 1 species
UACAGAGGGGGGGCAAGCGUUGUUCGGAAUUACUGGGCGUAAAGGGCGCGUAGGCGGCCUUCUAAGUCGAACGUGAAAUCCCUGGGCUCAACCCAGGAACUGCGUCCGAUACUGGGAGGCUUGAAUCCGGGAGAGGGAUGCGGAAUUCCAGGUGUAGCGGUGAAAUGCGUAGAUAUCUGGAGGAACACCGGUGGCGAAGGCGGCAUCCUGGACCGGCAUUGACGCUGAGGCGCGAAAGCCAGGGGAGCAAACGGG